GACGAACGCUGGCGGCGUGCUUAACACAUGCAAGUCGAACGGACAGGCCCUGCUUUUGUGGGGUGCUCGAGAGGCGAACGGGGGAGUAACACGUGAGUAACCUGCCCCUGACAUUGGGAUAACUUCAGGAAAAUGGGGCUAAUACAGGAUAGGAGAUCCUGCUGCAUGGUGGGGGUCGGAAAGUUUCGGCGGUUGGGGCUGGACUAGCGGCUUAUCAGCUUGUUGGUGGGGUAGUGGCUUACCAAGGCUUCGACGGGUAGCCGGCCUGAGAGGGUGACCGGCCACAAUGGUACUGAGAUACGGCCCAGUCUCCUACGGUAGGCAGCAGUGGGGAAUCUUGCACAGUGGGCGGAAGCCUGAUGCAACAACGCCCCGUGCGUGAUGACGGCCUUCGGGUUGUAAACCGCUUUCGCCUUUGCCGAAGCGUUAGUGACGGUAAUGGGUAAAGAAGCACCGGCUAACUACGUG
rnacentral:rRNA from 1 species